rnacentral:rRNA from 1 species
UACGUAGGGGGCAAGCGUUGUCCGGAUUUAUUGGGCGUAAAGAGCUCGUAGGCGGCUCACUAAGUCGGAUGUGAGAACUCCAGGCUCAACCUGGAGACGCCAUUCGAUACUGGUGUGGCUUGAGUUCGGUAGGGGAGCACGGAAUUCCUGGUGUAGCGGUGAAAUGCGUAGAUAUCAGGAGGAACACCGGUGGCGAAGGCGGCUCUCUGGACCACAACUGACGCUGAGGCGCGAAAGCUAGGGGAGCAAACAGG